rnacentral:rRNA from 1 species
UACGGGGGGGGCAAGCGUUGUUCGGAAUUACUGGGCGUAAAGGGCGUGUAGGCGGCCCGGUAAGUCCGCUGUGAAAGUCGAGGGCUCAACCCUCGAAUGCCGGUGGAUACUGUCGGGCUUGAGUACGGGAGAGGCGAGUGGAAUUCCUGGUGUAGCGGUGAAAUGCGCAGAUAUCAGGAGGAACACCGAUUGCGAAGGCAGCUCGCUGGAACGUUACUGACGCUGAGACGCGAAAGCGUGGGGAGCAAACAGG